GACGAACGCUGGCGGCGUGCUUAACACAUGCAAGUCGAACGGAAAGGCCCUGCUUUUGUGGGGUGCUCGAGUGGCGAACGGGUGAGUAACACGUGAGUAACCUGCCCUUGACUUUGGGAUAACUUCAGGAAACUGGGGCUAAUACCGGAUAGGAGCUCCUGCUUCAUGGUGGGGGUUGGAAAGUUUCGGCGGUUGGGGAUGGACUCGCGGCUUAUCAGCUUGUUGGUGGGGUAGUGGCUUACCAAGGCUUUGACGGGUAGCCGGCCUGAGAGGGUGACCGGCCACAUUGGGACUGGGAUACGGCCCAGACUCCUACGGGAGGCAGCAGUGGGGAAUAUUGCACAAUGGGCGGAAGCCUGAUGCAGCAACGCCGCGUGCGGGAUGACGGCCUUCGGGUUGUAAACCGCUUUCGCCUGUGACGAAGCGUGAGUGACGGUAAUGGGUAAAGAAGCACCGGCUAACUACGUG
rnacentral:rRNA from 1 species